AGCGAACGCUGGCGGCAGGCCUAACACAUGCAAGUCGAGCGGGCCGUUCGGGGUCAGCGGCGGACGGGUGAGUAACGCGUGGGAACGUGACCUCUGGGUUGGAAUAACUAAGGGAAACUUGUGAUAAUACCGGAUACGCCCUAUUGCGGGAAGGCUUGUUGAACGAGGUGGUGCCGGCGUGUGAUACGCUAGUGGGGUAGGUAACGGCUCAACAAGGCGACGAUCAGCAGCUGGUUUGUGAGACUGAUCAGCCACUCUGAGACGGAGACACGACCCAGACUCCUACGGGAGGGAGCAGUGGGGGAUAGUGGACCAUGGGGGCAAGGCUGAUCCAGCCAUGCCGCGUGAGUGAUGAAGGCCUGAGGGUUGUAAAGCUCCUUUAUCCGGGAAGAUAAUGACGGUACCGGAGGAAUAAGCCCCGGCUAACUUCGUG
rnacentral:rRNA from 1 species